GACGUAGGGUGCGAGCGUUGUCCGGAUUUAUUGGGCGUAAAGAGCUCGUAGGCGGCUCGUCGCGUCGACCGUGAAAACCCGCGGCUUAACUGCGGGCUUGCGGUUGAUACGGGCGGGCUAGAGUUCGGUAGGGGAGACUGGAAUUCCUGGUGUAGCGGUGAAAUGCGCAGAUAUCAGGAGGAACACCGGUGGCGAAGGCGGAUCUCUGGGCCUUACCUGACGCUGAGGAGCGAAAGCAUGGGGAGCAAACAGG
rnacentral:rRNA from 1 species